rnacentral:rRNA from 12 species
UGAAAUACAUUAAUGGAGCAUCUCUUGCGUGACAAGUACAACAACUCAUGUCAACGAAGUCACAUUGAUCAAGAACCAAAGUCGAGGGAAUAAUAGACAUCGUCGCAGUCAUACACC